UUAUUAAAUAGACACUCUCUUUUAUAAAGCAGCCUCUUUUGGGUUGGCUCAGCAAGAGAACUGACUGAUGGGGGGCUUGCUCAGCACUUGAAUAGAUAUGAUUGAGUUUCUGAGCUUGCACACCUAGGGUGAGAUGCCAUGCCUGUGCUUUUCCCAGACAGCACACACUGUGGGAUGCCCUGCUGAAGUAGGGCAGACAAGCAGGAUCUUCUAGUCUCUUGUAGCCAAGGCCUCUCUCCUGAAGUUUAUGCCCAGGUCUGUGAUACACCUGCUGGAUGUUCAUACUUGUUUAGCAGAUUUCCUGGCUUUGACACACAGACACCAGUAGCACUCUCUUGUCCCUCUUCCUCCUCAGCUAUAACAAUGAAAAAUACUUCUAGAUUUAGCCAAAUGUCCCCUGGGGGGCAAAAUUGACCCCUGUUGAGAAGCACUGGCUUAGACAAAUUACAGAUGAAAACAUCUGCAGUCACUGUCAGUAGUAAGUGCUCUUAUAUGUGGUAUUACUGAUAUUAUAGUAUCCAACAAUAUCAUCUGAUAAAGGAAUUUGCCUAUUAAUAAAUUAGAAUAAAAGCCACCUGCUUUAUGCUAAGCUCAACAUUUAUCAUGGAGUCUCUUUUUCCAGCAUCUUAUAAACAGUGUGUACUGUUUUUUGCUACUUGGGUACAAUUUAGAAGAUGUGUCUAUAUUUUGGUUUCUUCUCUUAGUGACCAAAUUAAUGAGCUUUUUUCUUGGUAAGUA
rnacentral:lncRNA from 1 species